CCUCAAAUAGCUGUUGCUGUAUCAGAUUCAGGCCUUAUGAAACAGGAGCUCUUGCCUGAUUUCACACGAGAUGGCUCAAAACCUUAACAGGGCUGUGAUGCAGCCUGCGCUGAUUGCUGGAACUGGGACGCUUUGGAGGCAGUGCACCUAGGCAACGCAAGGAAGAAGCAUCUUGCAGGAUUCCUGAGCAGGGACCCCAUGUGAAGCAACACUGGCAGGCUCUCAAAGGAGUCCAGUUCAUUCAAGGUGCCUGAAUCACAAACACCGCUCACAGAUGUUGGACCAGAUCCUCAGCCAGCAUAAACUGGUGUAACUUGACUGUAGCCAAUGGAGCCAUGCUACUUUAUACCUGUUGACACUCUGACCCAUUAAGUUCAGGAGGUCCGAGGUACCACAUACACAGUAAAUUGCACUUUAAUGGAAAUCCAUGUGUGACGUUGUGCAGUCUAUAUGGUUUUAUAAAAACUUGAUAAUAAGUCAAUAUAAUGUAACAGAUAGUUUUAGAGAAAAUACGGUAAUAAGUGAAUGUAACGUAACUG